GCAUCGGAGUGCCAUGCACAGUGCACACUCGAGUUCGGAGGAUGCCAGU
rnacentral:snRNA from 1 species